UACGGGGGGGGCAAGCGUUGUUCGAAAUUACUGGGCGUAAAGGGCGCGUAGGCGGAUAGUUCAGUUGGGGGUGAAAGCCCGGGGCUCAACCUCGGAACUGCCUUCAAUACUGGCUAUCUUGAGUACGGGAGAGGUGUGUGGAACUCCGAGUGUAGAGGUGAAAUUCGUAGAUAUUCGGAAGAACACCAGUGGCGAAGGCGACACACUGGCCCGUUACUGACGCUGAGGCGCGAAAGCGUGGGGAGCAAACAGG
rnacentral:rRNA from 1 species